GUAGGUGGCAAGCGUUGUCCGGAAUUAUUGGGCGUAAAGCGCGCGCAGGCGGGUCCUUUAAGUCUGAUGUGAAAGCCCACGGGCUCAACCGUGGAGGGUCAUUGGAAACUGGGGGACUUGAGUACAGAAGAGGAAAGCGGAAUUCCAAGUGUAGCGGUGAAAUGCGUAGAGAUUUGGAGGAACACCAGUGGCGAAGGCGGCUUUCUGGUCUGUAACUGACGCUGAGGCGCGAAAGCGUGGGGAGCAAACAGGAUUAGAUACCCUGGUAGUCCACGCCGUAAACGAUGAGUGCUAAGUGUUGGGGGGUUUCCGCCCCUUAGUGCUGCAGCUAACGCAUUAAGCACUCCGCCUGGGGAGUACGGCCGCAAAGGCUG
rnacentral:rRNA from 1 species